UUUUCUUUUGUGGAAAACCACAUAUUGCAUUUAAUUUCCAACCGGUAUGGUUGUUGCCGGUUCGGUGGCUACAUAAUUACAUGCGAGAGAGAGAGAAAAGGGUAACUGAAUACAAACACACAUAUAUAGAAGCUAAAGCAUUUUUUGCAAUUUAAUCGGCUUUUCAGUUGUUUUCUCGCGGAACAAACUUGAACCAAAUCUCCUAAUUUUAGAGCUCUGAUUUUGUUGCUUUUAUCAGCGCUUGUGAAUCUAAAGAAAAUGUAAUUUUUCUGGUAUCCCAAAUCUGAGGCAUGUUGCACACGAGGGAAGAAGCGACAUGUAGAGUGGUGUCCUGUUUGUGGAUCUCCGAGUUAGUAAUCGGAUCCAUAAAGAUCCAGCAGAGACCCGCCAUCAAAGAAUGCUCUUUCCAAGCGACAUCAGCGAAGCACUGGAUCGUAUCUGCAUUCACUUUUCUUUGUAGCUUCCCGAUCUGGUGGUUUGUGCUACUAGGGGUUUAGAUUUGGGCUGAAUGCCAUUCUCUAGCUUGGACAGUCGCUUGGGAUAUCGCAUCCGGUGCAAAGGCGGUCAUCUUCUCAAAAAUGAGCUUGUUUCAAUGUUUCCAAAUGAUACACAAGAUCCAUACGUCGAGAGAUCCAUCAAUAAUACCUGUUGGGGAUAAGCACUGAUACUUUCCAAUUGUUUCAAUUCCCAUUCUUAGGUUUGAUAUCCAUGUUGGAUCUAUCUGCGUUUUGUAUGGUGCAUGAGCAGACACUUGUUGGAUAGUCCCUCAUUUUGAAAGAACAGGUGGACACUCUCUUAUUUUGGAAACUCAAUCGACUUUUUUUUCAGGAUGUUUGAUUAUGGAUAAUAUUAUUAUUACACAGGAAUUGAUUCAUGUGCUAAAUACUAAUCGGCAGUAUAAAUCGGAUCUCCUUGCUUUUAAAACAGAUAUGAGCAAAGCUUAUGAUUGUGUAGAAUGAUCAUUUUUGGAAGUCGUCCUGAGCAGGAUGGGCCUUGAUGGUAAAUGGAUUUCAUGGAUUAUGUGGUGUGUCAGUCCUGUCUCUUACCAAGUACUUCUAAAUGGUUAGUCUCGGGGUUAUAUUCUUCCAGAACAUGGUUUGCGAUAAGGAGAUCUCCUCUCUCCGUAUUUGUUUAUUUUUUUACGGAGGUUUUAAUUACUAAUAUUAAAAAGGCUGAGAGGGAGGAAAAAGUUACGGGUGUGAAGUUUGCUCGGGAUUGUCCCUCGAUUUUUCAUUUGUUAUUUGCGGAUGAUAGUCUCUCUUUUUUUGUAAAGAAGAGGAGGCUGAGUGUGAGACAGUUAUAGAUAACGUUGGUAAUUAUGGUAAAGCUUUGGGACAAGAGGUGAAUCUAGCGAAAUCAUCUAUCCUGUUUGGGAAGAAAGUACCAAACCAAGUUAGAGAGCAGCUUAAAACUGUAAUUGGUAUUUCUAAAGAAGGGGGCAUGGACUCCUAUUUGGACAUCCUGAAAGUCUUGAGGGUUCUCACAAUAAGAUUUUCAGCUAUGUUCAUGAUAGGUUGAAUAAUCGGGUGAAUGGUUGGUCAGAAAAAUACUUAUCUAAGGGAGGAAAAUAAUUUUUGAUUAAAUCAGUUGCUUUGGCUCUCCCAAUACAUUUAUUGUCCUGUUUUAAACUUCCACCAGAUUAGACGUCUAAGUUAACAAGUGAAAUAUCAAACUUUUGGUGGAGUUUUAGUGAUAAGGACCGGGGAUUACACUGGGUGGCUUGGGAUAAGUCGUGUACAGAAAAAAGUAAAGGUGGUUUGGAGUUUUGAUCUCUGGAUAAAUUCAAUGAUGCGAUGCUUGCUAAACAAUAUUGGCAUCUGAUUCAAUACUCAAAUUCUUUAUUUAUCAGGCUGCUGCAAGGGCGGUACUUUAGGAACAUGCAUCUUUUAAUGGCUAAAAAACCAUAUUCACCAUCUUUUGGUCGGAAGAGCAUUUAUUCCACUAAAGGAUUAGUAGAACGUGUUACAAGGUGGAUGGUGGGAUCGGGUUGUAAUAUUUCGUUUUUGCGAGACCCUUGGAUUCCUGAUCAUCACCCCGACCAGCAAAUGGUAGGGGUAGACUUUUGCCUCCAAUAAAUCCGGUCAUUAAGGAGUGGCAUUAACCUAUUCUUUAGGUGUUCAUGGAUCCGGAAGAUAUUCUGCUUAUACAAAGUAGGGCUAUAAGCAAGACUUUUAAGCUUGAUCGAUUGAUUUGGCAUUAUUCAAGAUCAAGGAGAUAUUCAGUGAAAUCAGGAUAUGGGUUGGCAAGGGAGCUGUUGGUAGAGGUCGAGUGUGGCCCAACAUGUACGGCUUUAAGAGCCCAUGCAUGAAAACUCCAAGUUCCACCUAAGCGUUUCUUCUAGCAAAUUGCAUCUGGUUCUCUUCCAGUGACAGAUCGUUUAGCUCACUGAGGUGUUCAGUGUGACACCUGGUGUAAAAGAUGUGAUUCAGCGAGUGAGACAAUUAACCAUGCUCUUUUUGAGUGCCCACGCUCGCGUCAAAUUUGGGACUUGUCUUCGAUCCAGGUUUUACGAAGGGUUUUUUUAUGAGUUAGUGUAUUUGAAUUUGGAUUGUAUCUACUGGAGAGGAAUUUCUCCUUCAUGAGAUCCAGAUUCCCGUCAUCAGUUACCAUGGAUAAUAUGGUCGCUAUGGAAGGAUAGGAAUAAGAAGGAUUUCUAAGGCACGCAGUUGGAUCCGAUUGACGUAAUUAGUCAGGCUGUAAGUGAAAAAUUAUUAUUAGAGGAGGUGCAGUCUCAGCCAGAGACUUUUUCAGGUCCCUUAAAUUCAUUGAACUUCUUGGUUCCUGCGGUGAGCGAGGGUCAAGGUACCCGUUGUCAAGUAGAUGGAUUUUGGAAGGUUUUUGAGCCCAAUUUAGGUUUGGGUUGGUGGUGCUGUUAUGGUGAAGCUCAGAUUUAUUGUUGGGAGCUCAAUGUCUAUGACAAAGUCCUUCCCCGCUUCAUUUAGAGUUAGAAGCUCUGCUUUGGACCAUGGAGAGUACUAUUGCCACUGGAGUCGUCUGCCAGAACUUUUAAACGGAUACUGCAGAACUAAUCACGAUGAUUCAAGCCCAAGAAGACUGGCUCCCGUUCUCUACUCCUCUAGAUGACUUUCAUCAUCUCUGGGCUUCCUUACCUUUGAAACGACACUUGGAUUCCCUAUCCUCACACAAGAUCCACAGGAAACGAUCUCACCGGAACCCCAUAAUUCCAAUGAGACAACCGGCGUAGAAAUCUCUCCUUACAAAAACUCCCACAAACACACCAAAUUUAAGCCAAAUCGGACUUUGUUUCAUCCUAUAAACGUUGCUCUGAAGUAGCCAUCUCGAACCAGUCCACGCAGCCCAUCUGCAAGUGUUGGUGUCGAACGAAACCAACCAAGACAUCGCGAUCCAAGCCUCCCUUAAAGCUCCUUCUCACCGUAAAACCGUAAUCCUUCACAACCAUCUAUUCACUAAUCAAUUAAACAUUAAACAACACAACUUAACUGGAUAAUAGCCAUGAGAGAGCCUCCUUGUCUAUCCCAAUCCACCACCAAGCUCCCAUCCUUCCCCUCACACAUGGAGAAGAUGGAAUUCCCUUAUCCUCCUCUAGCAUCCUUGAUGCACGACAAAGAAGAAGCUCCCCUCAAGCCCACUAAUUUAUCUCCUCUUCUCCCUCACACCAAGACCUCCUUCCUUUUUCUGUCCAUUGUCAAACCAUCCCCUUUCUCCUCCCUUCAAAGAGAGAAUCCACAACUCUCUUCUCUCCUUUUAGGACAGGAGACGGCUCCCCUUCACUUGGCGUCGAGAUACCACUUGUAUACUCGAACCCCUAGGGUUUUUUAAACCAUACCACAUCAAACCGAUGAUUAAAACUUAACUGUUGGACUUAGGAAAUUGUUGGUGUUGACCGACAACCCUCUGGUGUUGCUCGACAUCCACCCCCAAAAAUCCAAUUUUUUGGUUCACGGGGGUUACAAUUUCUUCUCUUUAUCCAAGUUUUCUCACUCCUUGAAUCUGAAGGCGGAUUGUCUAGCUCGGUCGUUCAGAUCGUUAAUUUCUGAAAUUUCUUUGUAAACUCAUUUCCUCCGGUUUGGGCUACCAAACGUGGAGUCGUAUUCUAAUUAAUAUUUGAUUGACAAUAAAAAAAGAACAGGUGGACACUCGUUUCCUCAUGACCGCAAAAGGGGGAAACUACCUCCGGGUUUAUUUCUCUCCCUUUAAAAUUCUAACCCGUGGGGAGAGCAUUUCUCAUAGCUUUCCAGAGGAAGAAAUAUAUCCUCGGUAGGCAUUUGACAUUCCAGAUUUCUUUUCCCCACUUUAAAUCAUCUGUUUGGUUUGCUUGAUGCAUUUUUUCCAUUGUUUGUAUAAUUGCAUAUUGAUAUCCGGAUUUGGUAGAGUACUUUCCAUAGGGAGUAGGAAGCCAGACAUAAGAUCCUCUACUCCAAACUUGCUAGGUUUAAGGAUCAAUAUUUGUUUCUCGUAUUAGGGCAGCAUUUCUUGGAUCUUCUCUUCAUCCUAUUGUGCAGUAUUGGGUCGUAUAAGCUUAGACACCCUCAUGUCUUGACAGUUAGCUGGGGCUUGUCCCAUUGGUGUGGUUGAUUAUACAAGAGAUAAACAUGGUUCAUUACCCAUGUAUUGGCUCCAGAGCCUAUAACUUUCCCAUUUGUACCUUUAAGAAAUCCCGACCUAUGCUUAUUCCUCGCCAGCCAUGGGAUGUUGAAGAAGGCACCAUAUACUCUAGAAAUGAAUUGUGUUGGCAGUAUUUCCCCAGUAGAUAGGUUGGUUUGGCGAGGAUUCUCCAGCAUAUCUUGGCCAGGAGUGCAUCAUUAAAGGUAGCUACAUCUCUGAAGCCUAAUCCUCCUUUCCUUUUAGAUUUUUGUCAUUUUAUUCCAAGAGAUCCAAUACAUCUUCCUCUUACCAGUUGCUGAGUCCCACUAGAAGCGAGUCAAGACAGAUUGUAUUCUUUUGCAAAGUGAUCCUGGCAGUUUGAAACAAGACAUCGUGUGGGUUGGCAUUGCAGAUAACAUUGGUUUAAGCAUGGUGAUUUUUCUAGCAGUGGAAAGGAACCUAGUGGACCAGCUUAGUGAGUGUUGCUUGAUUUUGUCGAUGAUGCUGUUAAACAUAUCCUUUUUCUUUCUUCCAAAAUAUUCAGGUAAACCUAGGUAUUUUCCUAGUCCUCCAACUUGUUGGAUGCCUAGGAUAUGUUUCGCUAAGAUUGUUGUGUUCUCUCCUAUUUUGGCUGAGAAAUUGACAGCCGAGUUGGCUUUGUUUAUCAUUUGGCCUAAUAUUUUUGUAGGAUUUUCAUUAAUUCCUCACAACUUUGCUAAUCAGAUCGACAAAAAAAUAUUAUAUCAUCUACAAAAAAGGAGAUGGUUUACUCGGGGACCGGCUUUGGAUACUUUAUGUCUUUGCAGCCUAAUCUCAAGUUUUCUACAUAGACCAGAUAAUACUUCAUUGAAGAGCAUGAAAAUGUGUGGUGACAGAGGGUCCCCUUUGCGAAUUCCUCUCUGUGGGUUCACUUUUCCUUGGGUGGAGCCAGUUAGGAGAUAUGAAUAUGAUACAAAGGUGAUGCAUAUCAUGAUCCAGUUGACCCAAUUUUGGUGGAACCCCAUUCUCUCCAUCACCAGCCUUGUGAAGUUCCAUUAUAUGCAGUCGUACGCUUUACUCAUGUCGGUUUUAACCGCGCUAUAGCAUCUCUUUUUUGCUCCAGAGUUAUUGAGGUAAUGUAGUACUUCAUGUGUGAUUAAUACAUUAUUUGUGAUUACCCUUUUUGGCACAAAAGAUGACUAAUUCUCUGAAAUGAUAUGUUGCAGGAGAGGUUGCAGUCUCUUUGUUAAUACCUUGGAGAUGAUCUUGUAGAACACAGUGCAGAGCGCUAUGGGUCUGUAGUCUACCCUUUUCUGUGGACUUUGGAUCUUGAGAAUGAGCCUGACAUGAGUUUGAUUGGUAUUUUCAAACAUAUUUCCUAAGAUAAAGAAUCUUUGCACUUCCAUGAUAAUGUUGGGGCCUACCGUCUCCAAAUUUGACAGGAAAAAGCUUGCUGAAAAUCCAUCUGGGCUAGGAGCUUUUUCUGCGUGAAUUAAAAAAUAUGCUUUUUAUAUUUCAUCUGGUGAUGGUAUUGAGAUGAGAAUUUGAUUCAUUUAUGUUGAAAUGGAGGGCUUAAUGGCUUCUUCAAUCUUGGCAGCUCUAUCUUCUUCUCAAGAGGUGAACAGCUUCUCAAAAUAAUCAGUAAUGACUCUACUUAUUUGCUCUUCUUUGAAUAUAAGUGCUCCAUUUUCAUCUUAAAUUACUAAAAACUUGUUUAUUACAUAGUUGCCCCUAGUGGUAGCAUGAAAAUACAUGAGUUUUUACCUCCCAAUGCUAACCACAUUUGUUUACUUCUUUGCUUCCUCUUCCGUUUUGUAUGCCUUCAGGAGACUCAUAUUUAGCUUGGAGAUCAGCUCUGAGUUUGCCUUCUGACUGAUCAUAGCUUCUUCCAGUUUUGCUAUGUAUAGUUCUAUCUCCUUUUGGCUAUUUUGGUGUUUUUCUCUUGUCUAUUGGAUGAUUUCACAGUGACAUCUAGUCAAAGUGUGUGAGGAUGGGUCUGUGAUCGGAUCGUUCAAAGCGAAGAUAGUCAGUUGGCUAGAUGGAUUUCGCUUUUGGGGGUCUUCCCCUUCCUCUCUUUGUGACUUUCUAAGGGGCUUGGAGAUUUUGGUCACAGCCAAUGGUUUUGAAGUCUCGGAUUUCUGCAGUCGGAGAAUGGUUCAGAAUUCGUACACUUGGUGGAGGAGAGGUCAACUCAUCAUUGACCAUCCUCUAUCUUAACUCCACGCUUGGUGGAGGUGGUGGUGGAGUAGGGGGUUAGGGUUUAUCCCCAAUCUUUCUAAUGGUGGCCGUCUGGGCCUUGAGAAGUCUUAUGCUUCCAAGUGGUGAUAUGAUGAUGGAGUUAUUUCUCUCUCCACUGCAUCCUUGGGUUUUGUGAUGUUCCAUCCUCUCUAGGGUAAUGAUGGGAAGAGGAAUAUCCACGCUGUGAAGAUCUGCCUUGGUAAAGAUGGGAUCUAUAGGUUUGUCUCAUGUGGCUUGAGCGAAUGGUCACAUUAUUCUGGCCCUCCGACGAGUAUGAUCUUCAACUUAAUUCAUGAUCUGACCAUCCUUUUUGUGCUAUGCAAGAUCCGGAUGGUUCUCUUUGGAAAUCAGCACAAACUAGAGUAGUCUUGGGUGCCAUGAAGUUGUCUUGGGGUGUGUAAUAGUUUCUAGACACCUCUCGGGUAUCUGAUGCUUGAGAUCGUGAAACGAACUGGGAUUUCACUCUUUGCAGCUAGUUCUGGGUUGUUUUUCAAUUCGUGGGUGAGCCUAAAGCAGUAAGCAAUGAUUCUUAUGUUUUUGUAAUCAAGGAUACAUUUGUUAUCUCCAUGUCUUCCAUUUCUCUGAGUUCUUCAUCAAUAGCUUGCAUCAUUUUUGGUUCUCAGUAGUGCUUUGGGAGGCCUUGAACUUCAAUAUAGAAGGGAAUAACAGACGGGAAUGUGGCAAGAAACCACCGGCUCCCAUAUAUGAAGUAUCACUAUCCAGUAAUCAUAAUGGUAUAGUCUGUUCUAUAGAACUUUAUGGAUGUCCUCUUCAUAGUCAAAUCUGAACUAGAUGCAGCCUCUUCCUAGAUUUGCUUAAGUCGCUUUCCCUUGAGGUCCUAUCGGUUAGCAAGGAAAGGGAAUAGAGACCAGAGUCUUUGAGCAGAGGGGUUGGUUAGGCGGCCCAUGAGUGUAAGAGAGUUCUCCUCAAUCAGAGCUAAGGUAUCUAAUUCUGGGGCUCGGAUUCUUCUAUGAGGAGGAGGAGUGUUUCCAGCAUCCACAACUUUUCCUUUGAGGUGGUUACACAUGUUUCAAAAGUUUUACAAAGGGUUACACAGUUUCAUGGUUUUUCAUUACCGAGGAGGGAUAAAAGAAGAGAGAGAGACACAUUCCGUACGGUGGAUAGUUCACUCCUUCCGGGAUGCAAUACGGUGGGUAAAGAGCGGUAGACCAAGCUUGUUCCAGUGAAUAGAUCCUCGUCGGAGCUUGCUAUAGUCCGCUGAGUUUUUUCACAUGGGUUGAUAGACCAUUAGUUAUUGCCGCUUUUAGUAGUUUGGAGUAGGUGAGAUCUAAUUUUUUGAAAGUGUGUUGCUACUUUAGUUGCCUUGGAAAUUGGGCCUGGGAGAGAAGUCGUAUACUUCUCUAUGCCUCACCUUCUAGACGUUUUUGUUGCUUAUUAUUUAAGCAACAAAACUAUAGAGACAAGAACUAUAGAGACAAGACCCAAAAGCACAAAAAAUUCUAAACUCCUUCCUCAAAUGGUUGACAAAAACAUGAUGUUGUUCAUCUAUCUGAGCUUUAAUCAAAUUACCAUUUAGUUUCAUUGCCGCUUCUGCAUCUUCAGGAGAGUUGAAGAUUACAUUGCAUGCUCUUGUUUUUUCUCCCUUUAAGAAACUGACACUAAAGAAGAGA